rnacentral:rRNA from 1 species
UGCAGUCUGCAACUCGAGUGCAUGAAGCUGGAAUCGCUAGUAAUCGCGAAUCAGAAUGUCGCGGUGAAUACGUUCCCGGGUCUUGUACACACCGCCCGUCACACCAUGAGAGUUGGGAAUACCCGAAGCCUGUGAGCUAACUUUUAGAGGCAGCAGUCGAAGGUAGAAUCAAUGAUUGGGGUGAAGUCGUAACAAGGUAUC